CCUACGUUGGGCAGCAGUGGGGAAUAUUGGGCAAUGGAGGAAACUCUGACCCAGCAACGCCGCGUGAAUGAUGAAGGUCUUCGGAUUGUAAAGUUCUUUUCUAAGGGAAGAAGAAAGUGACGGUACCUUAGGAAUAAGCCUCGGCUAACUACGUGCCAGCAGCCGCGGUAAUACGUAGGAGGCAAGCGUUAUCCGGAAUGACUGGGCGUAAGGGGUGCGUAGGGGGUUUGAUAAGUUGGUAGCGUAACGCCGAGGCUCAACCUCGGCACUACUACCAAAUCUGUCGGACGUGAGUGCAGGAGGGGCAACUGGAAUUCCUAGUGUAGCGGUGGAAUGCGUAGAUAGUAGGAGGAACACCAGUGGCGAAGGCGAGUUGCUGGACUGUAACUGACACUGAGGCACGAAAGCGUGGGGAGCAAACAGGAUUAGAUACCCUUGUAGUC
rnacentral:rRNA from 1 species